rnacentral:tRNA from 1 species
GCGAGAGUAGUUUAAUGGUAAAAUAGUUCCUUCCCAAGGAACGGUCGGGGGUUCGAUUCCCCUCUCUCGCU